GGUUGUAUAGUGUAGUGGUUAGCACGUGGGAUUUUGAUUAUAAAAAUUGAAAUCUUCCUGAGACCCCUGUUCGAACCCGGGUACGACCU